rnacentral:rRNA from 1 species
ACGAACGCUGGCGGCGUGCCUAAUGCAUGCAAGUCGCACGGGGCGCCUUCGGGCGUUCAGUGGCGCACGGCUGAGUACGACGUGGGAACCUGCCGCCCGAUGGGGGAUAACGCCGCGAAAGCGGCGCUAAUCCCGCAUACGCUCCCCUCACGGGGAGGAAAGCCGAAAGGCGUCGGGCGAGGGGCCUGCGGCCCAUCAGGUCGUUGGCGGGGUAACGGCCCACCAAGCCGAUGACGGGUAGCUGGUCUGUGAGGACAGACAGCCAGACUGGGACUGAGAGACGGCCCAGACUCCUACGGGAGGCAGCAGCAAGGAAUUUUCGGCAAUGGGCGCAAGCCUGACCGAGCACGCCGCGUGCAGGACGACGGCCUUCGGGUUGUAAACUGCUUUUCGGGGGGAUGAGACGGACCGUACCCCCGGAAUAAGCCCCGGCUAACUCUGUGCCAGCAGCCGCGGUAAGACAGAGGGGGCAAGCGUUGUCCGGACUGACUGGGCGUAAAGCGCACGCAGGUGGCACGGCGCGUGGGGUGUGAAAGCGGCCGGCUUAACCGGCUGAGGCCAUCCCAUACGGCCGCGCUCGAGCCAUGCAGAGGGUGGUGGAAUUGCCGGUGUAGUGGUGAAAUGCGUAGAGAUCGGCAGGAACACCCAGGGGGAAACCAGCCACCUGGGCAUGGGCUGACACUGAGGUGCGACAGCGUGGGGAGCGAACCGGAUUAGAUACCCGGGUAGUCCACGCCGUAAACGAUGGACGCUCGGCAUCUGCGGGCUAUUGACGCGCGUGGGUGCCUCAGCUAACGCGGUAAGCGUCCCGCCUGGGAACUACGAGCGCAAGCUUAAAACUCAAAGGAAUUGACGGGGGCCCGCACAAGCAGCGGAGCGUGUGGUUUAAUUCGACGCAACGCGCAGAACCUUACCCAGACUUGACAUGCAGCUGCACCCUCCUGAAAGGGAGGCGCCUUCGAGGGAGCUGCACAGAUGCUGCAUGGCUGUCGUCAGCUCGUGUCGUGAGAUGUUGGGUUGAGUCCCGCAACGAGCGCAACCCCCGCGGUCAGUUAUACGUGUCUGGCCGGACUGCCCCACUUGGGGAGGAAGGCGGGGAUGACGUCAAGUCCGCAUGGCUCUUACGUCUGGGGCGACACACACGCUACAAUGGCGUCGACAGUGCGCCGCGACCCGGUAACGGGAAGCGAAUCGCCAAACGGCGUCUCAGUGCAGAUCGGGGGCUGCAACUCGCCCCCGUGAAGGCGGAGUUGCUAGUAACCGCGUAUCAGCCAUGGCGCGGUGAAUACGUACCCGGGCCUUGUACACACCGCCCGUCACGUCAUGGGAGUCGGCAAUGCCUGAAGUCCGUGCGCCAACCGCGAGGAGGCAGCGGCCGAGGGCAGGGGUGGCGACUGGGACGAAGUCG